rnacentral:misc_RNA from 1 species
UCCAUAUCUAAAUCUUCCCUUGUAACACCCUGAGGUAGUUCCCAAUUGUAGCGAUGCAAGAGAUUAGCAAGUGCAAGCUCAAUUAAAACAAUACUGAAAUUCAUUCCAUUCCAGGACACCCUCUACGCCCAAACCCAAAUGGUAUUAAUUCGUAGUGUUGUCCACUGAAAUCAAUUGAGCUAUGCAGGAAUCUCUCGGGUCGAAACUCCUCUGGAUUUUUCCAUGAUUUAGGGUCCAUGGAUAUUGAUGAUGCACUAAUAUAUACCCUAGUUCUUGCUGGGAUUUCAUAAUCUCCAAUUUUGCAAUCCUCUAUAGUUUCUCUUGGAACUAAUAAUGGUGCUGGUGGAUAGACUCUCAAUGACUCUUUCACUACGGACUUCAGGUACACAAGUUGAGGAAGAUUGCUUUCUUGCACCAUCUCUUUUCCCUUACUAACUCUUCUUAACUCUUCUUGGACUCUUCUCAUUGCAUAUGGAUUCCUUAUCAAUUCGGUCAUCGUCCAAACUAAUGUGGCUGAGGAAGUAUCCGUCCCCGCUAUGAACAUGUCCAUCAGGGCACUCUUGAUAGAAUCGUCGCUGAGUUCAACUUCUCGAUUUGGAUCCUUCUGAAGUCGAAG